GCCUAACACAUGCAAGUCGAACGAAGCACCUUUUGAGAUUCUUCGGAUGAUCGAUUGGUGACUGAGUGGCGGACGGGUGAGUAACGCGUGGGUAACCUGCCCUGUACAGGGGGAUAACAGCUGGAAACGGCUGCUAAUACCGCAUAAGCGCACGAGGAGACAUCUCCUUGUGUGAAAAACUCCGGUGGUACAGGAUGGGCCCGCGUCUGAUUAGCUGGUUGGCAGGGUAACGGCCUACCAAGGCAACGAUCAGUAGCCGGUCUGAGAGGAUGAACGGCCACAUUGGAACUGAGACACGGUCCAAACUCCUACGGGAGGCAGCAGUGGGGAAUAUUGCACAAUGGGGGAAACCCUGAUGCAGCAACGCCGCGUGAGUGAAGAAGUAUUUCGGUAUGUAAAGCUCUAUCAGCAGGGGAGAUAAUGACGGUACCUGACUAAGAAGCUCCGGCUAAAUACGUGCCAGCAGCCGCGGUAAUACGUAUGGAGCAAGCGUUAUCCGGAUUUACUGGGUGUAAAGGGUGCGUAGGUGGCAGUGCAAGUCAGAUGUGAAAGGCCGGGGCUCAACCCCGGAGCUGCAUUUGAAACUGCAUAGCUGGAGUACAGGAGAGGCAGGCGGAAUUCCUAGUGUAGCGGUGAAAUGCGUAGAUAUUAGGAGGAACACCAGUGGCGAAGGCGGCCUGCUGGACUGUUACUGACACUGAGGCACGAAAGCGUGGGGAGCAAACAGG
rnacentral:rRNA from 1 species